CCUGGCGGCAGUAGCGCGGUGGUCCCACCUGACCCCAUGCCGAACUCAGAAGUGAAACGCCGUAGUGCCGAUGGUAGUG
rnacentral:rRNA from 1 species